UGAUUGAUGGUGCUUGCACCUGAUUGAUUUUGGUCGCCAACGAGUGGCGGACGGGUGAGUAACACGUAGGUAACCUGCCCAGAAGCGGGGGACAACAUUUGGAAACAGAUGCUAAUACCGCAUAACAACGUUGUUCGCAUGAACAACGCUUAAAAGAUGGCUUCUCGCUAUCACUUCUGGAUGGACCUGCGGUGCAUUAGCUUGUUGGUGGGGUAACGGCCUACCAAGGCGAUGAUGCAUAGCCGAGUUGAGAGACUGAUCGGCCACAAUGGGACUGAGACACGGCCCAUACUCCUACGGGAGGCAGCAGUAGGGAAUCUUCCACAAUGGGCGCAAGCCUGAUGGAGCAACACCGCGUGAGUGAAGAAGGGUUUCGGCUCGUAAAGCUCUGUUGUUAAAGAAGAACACGUAUGAGAGUAACUGUUCAUACGUUGACGGUAUUUAACCAGAAAGUCACGGCUAACUACGUGCCAGCAGCCGCGGUAAUACGUAGGUGGCAAGCGUUAUCCGGAUUUAUUGGGCGUAAAGAGAGUGCAGGCGGUUUUCUAAGUCUGAUGUGAAAGCCUUCGGCUUAACCGGAGAAGUGCAUCGGAAACUGGAUAACUUGAGUGCAGAAGAGGGUAGUGGAACUCCAUGUGUAGCGGUGGAAUGCGUAGAUAUAUGGAAGAACACCAGUGGCGAAGGCGGCUACCUGGUCUGCAACUGACGCUGAGACUCGAAAGCAUGGGUAGCGAACAGGAUUAGAUACCCUGGUAGUCCAUGCCGUAAACGAUGAGUGCUAGGUGUUGGAGGGUUUCCGCCCUUCAGUGCCGGAGCUAACGCAUUAAGCACUCCGCCUGGGGAGUACGACCGCAAGGUUGAAACUCAAAGGAAUUGACGGGGGCCCGCACAAGCGGUGGAGCAUGUGGUUUAAUUCGAAGCUACGCGAAGAACCUUACCAGGUCUUGACAUCUUGCGCCAACCCUAGAGAUAGGGCGUUUCCUUCGGGAACGCAAUGACAGGUGGUGCAUGGUCGUCGUCAGCUCGUGUCGUGAGAUGUUGGGUUAAGUCCCGCAACGAGCGCAACCCUUGUUACUAGUUGCCAGCAUUAAGUUGGGCACUCUAGUGAGACUGCCGGUGACAAACCGGAGGAAGGUGGGGACGACGUCAGAUCAUCAUGCCCCUUAUGACCUGGGCUAC
rnacentral:rRNA from 1 species